rnacentral:lncRNA from 1 species
AAGAUGUCAAAUGUCCCAGCCAUCAACAGAUCUGCCCCUGCUAGACAUGAGACUGUCCUCUUCUGUGACAUUUGGGGCCCCAUGCUCUGCAGUCCCCCCAGUGCUACUCCCUUACAUCUGGAGUCCAAAGAACUCGUCUUAUGGCCAGCAUGCCCUCCUUGAUGGAUGCUCCAGGCCUUCCUGGGCCCCCUUCCAGCCAGGGUCUGCCAGCUCCAACAUCAUCCCAUUAGGGAGGCACCAAGAAGACAGAAAAACAAAGUGAAUUUGAUACAAGCUCCUUUCAAGUGGGCCAUGAGCUGCUGCAGCCUCAGGAGAGAGCAGCUUUCUGAUCUCCUUCCAGCCCGUGGGUGCCCCUGGGUCUCUGUGGAGCAUUUUCAAAGAUCCUUUCCCUUCCCUCUCCCAUCCUCACCACAUCAGGGAAAGGCUGCCUGGGCUUUAAAGUUCCAGCCCCACUCUGAAAUUGGAAACAUGUGCGUUUUGCAAAGUAUCAAUUUAGCAGAGAGUUGGGUCUGCCUGGAUGGCUGGUGGCUGCUGAGUGCCUGUUCAGGAAUGCUACAUGGCCUAGAGUCAAGAUGUCCUCAGUUCAAGUCCUGGCCUUGGUGCAGACAAGUUGAGUAUGUUAGUUGUUCUUCUUGCUGCUGUAACAAAACACCUGACAAAAGCAACUUACUGAAGGAAAGAUUUGUCUUUGCUCAGUCUGAGGGUGCAGUCCAUCAUGGCUCAGAGGCAGGGUGACAGGAGAAUGAGACAAC